rnacentral:lncRNA from 1 species
AUUCCGUGCAUGCAUUAUUAUGCCACCACGAACCCAACUAUUUUGCCUAACUAUAAUGUACCAAUAAAAAAAAAUAGAGAUUCUCAGAUGAAGUCUCAUAUACAUAAUUACAUACCCAUCUAAUUACGUGUCAUUGGUGAGACGUCCACGGGAAGCAAAAUGACCCACUAAAACUGAAUAUGAAAGUAUGCAUAAAAUAUUUCAGGACAAUCAAAACAAAAGUGAAAUCAGGAUUUAUAUUGUUCAUACCCAAAGAAUGAAAAUAAGAAUGACAUAAUCUUGUCGAUAAAACAGCCAACAUCAAAAUGUAGAAAGCAAAACUAUGCGAAAGGGGAAAAAAAACUACCAUCUGCUCCUCAUUGUGGGAACGGAAGGAGCCUUGGCCUGCCUGGUCUCUGAGUGCAGCCUUGUCCAGGGGCAGGACAAUGGCCUUCCUGCUGGACAGGGAGCCUCUCUGAAUGCCAGCUCUACUCUGAUGUCCCCAGGUUCUGUAACUCAUUCACUGGGAGCCUGAGGCCCCCCGGGUCCUGGGGCGACCUGGCUGCCCUCGUGUGCUGGUCUCUGGGGACUGGUCAGGUGUCUUCUCCGUCUCUUCUGGCUGUACCUGCUGCUCCUGCCCUGACCUGUACCUCGCGAUGCCCUCAGGGAUCUGCUCUCCCCUCAAGUCUUCUAGGUCAAGCCACCAGCUGGGCACCCUUCCCCAGCCAGCCACCCACCCACCCACAGGCCAGUGACUCCCUAGAUCUCAUCCUGGGACGGUUAACUGAUGUGUCGAUGUGACUGGGCCACGGUGGCCUGAUGUAGGGUCAUGCAUUGUUCUGGAUAUUUCUGUGAUGUUUUGGACGAGGCUUACAUUUGGGUCUGUGAACUUUGAGUCCAACAGAUGGCCCUCCGUGGUGGGGUGGCCCUCAUGCUCACAGCUGAAAAAAAAAAGGAACAAUUGUGGAGUCCUGAAGGUUUGGCUUGGGCUGGGAGUGACAGAGAGACUCCACGAGGAUGGACUCUGACCUCCUUCUGUGUGGAGAAACAGCAACCACCCGACAGCUCUCUGCAACAAGAGGAGAAAUCCCAAGGGACCCCAAGGUGGCAGUGACCUACUGCUACAGAGGUUCCUGGGAGCAGCAACCUUACACCUCCAAUCAGCAUGCCCACAGAGCACCUGGGAAUCGGUCCAGCAAAGCACGAAGAACGCUACGGGAUUCCCACGGAUAGAGUUUUCAUCUUCACUUUAUUUUUACUGAGUAAAAAGCACCCUUUUCAAGCAACCUCCCAAGCUGCAUAUUUUAGAAGACAUGGAGCCUAGUUGUGGGAAAAGAA